UACGUAGGGGGCAAGCGUUGUCCGGAUUUAUUGGGCGUAAAGAGCUCGUAGGCGGCUUGUCGCGUCGUCCGUGAAAACCCACAGCUCAACUGUGGGCUUGCGGUCGAUACGGGCAGGCUAGAGUUCGGUAGGGGAGACUGGAAUUCCUGGUGUAGCGGUGAAAUGCGCAGAUAUCAGGAGGAACACCGGUGGCGAAGGCGGCAUCCUGGACCGGCAUUGACGCUGAGGCGCGAAAGCCAGGGGAGCAAACGGG
rnacentral:rRNA from 1 species